rnacentral:rRNA from 1 species
AAAUUGAAGAGUUUGAUCAUGGCUCAGAUUGAACGCUGGCGGCAGGCCUAACACAUGCAAGUCGAACGGUAACAGAAAGCAGCUUGCUGCUUUGCUGACGAGUGGCGGACGGGUGAGUAAUGUCUGGGAAACUGCCU